rnacentral:tRNA from 1 species
GGAGAGGUGGCUGAGUGGUCGAAAGCGUCGGAUUGCUAAUCCGAUGUGUGAUUACAUCACACCGAGAGUUCAAAUCUCUUCCUCUCCU